ensembl:lncRNA
AUGUGUCCUCGGCAGAGCUACCAAAGUCACAGUUCAGGCCGCUGGCACUUGGGGACCGGAACCCAUCUCCCUGUGAGGGGGCUCUCUGUAACUCUGACUAGUGUGAACUCCCACCGGGCACAGAGGGAUGGGGGCACGGCCAUCACCGGCACCCCGCGCUACCUGGGAAGGACCACCCCAGAGGGAGCCUCGCUCCGCCGGCCGGGCCGAGGGGCACAGCCCCGGGAGCGGGGGCAGGGGGCGGACACCCACCCGCGGCGGCCCGGCCCGGCCUCGGGCGCUCUGCGGGGCCGGGGCAUGUGCGGCGGCGCGGGCGGCGGGGGAGCGGCGCCCCAGAGCCGCGCCGCGCCGCUUCCUGCCGCUAUAAAUAGCCGCCCGGCCCAACAUGUCCCGGCCGCCGCAGCGGCUGCAGCGCCGGCGGGACCCGCCGUGCCCUCCCGCCGCCUAGCCCGCACGGAGCGCGCAGGGUUUCACUGCUUUUUUACCUGUGUACUACUGAAAGUGUGCAUCUGAGGAAAGGUAUUGGCUAUAGAAGGAGCAGUUUCCCACCUGCGAUAACAGGUAUGACCUUUACAUCUGAUGAUCUCCAGACCCCAAAAAGGCCACUGAGAAGCACAAGCCAUGCUAAUCCCUUUGAGAAGGGAGCAUGCUGCAGUAUUUGUCUCCAAUACCUACACUGCAUAAAGUUCUAACAGCUGUUUAAUUUUCUGCCCUGCUUGUACAAACACCCAGCUGCUUUGUAGGGAGAAAAGAGUGUAUAUUGGUGUUGUCUGACAAUUGUGACCUGACAGGAAGGCAUAGGCUUCCUUUGGAGCACAUAUAUUGUUCAUGGCAUACAUGUACAAUUUAGUAAAAUGUCUUUAUGCAGCAGCUUUGAGAAAUGUUCUGUGCUUUUAACUGCAUUGGAUCUCCAUCUGGUUAAUGGACUUGUGUAUAGAAACCAUAUGAAAUAAUGAUGCAGCAGAAGGGAGGGUUUCUUUAAAGUUUAUGCUUUUACCAUGGUAAACAUAUCUUAAUUAUGGCUUCUUCAUAAUAAUGAAGUGUUAUCAAAAUUCAAAUCUAAUUAAAUAUGUCUGUGAUCUUUCUACUGAUUUCUCUUAUUCUUUACUCCAACACUUUCUCAUUUUCUUCAUGUGAUGCACUCUAACACUUGGUCUGUGGGAUCUGUUAUAAAAAGGGACUGUUUACUGUCUUGGUUCAAAAUCCAUGGUGCUAGCUGCUAUUUGAGUAGGGGUGUGGAGACCCAGUAUAUGGGGAGAUAAUUAAAUUCUGGGAUGGUAGAACAGAUUUUGGUAGUACUAAAGAAGUGGAUACUGUAAGUAGCCACAAAUCUUCAAGGCAGCUGUCUGUCCUGUGUGCAAUUAACACCUACUUGUUUAGCUUCUUACUUCAAAGAGGCAUGUGAAAAUCUGUUACUGAAUAAUAACUGCUGAACUGUUAGUUGGCAAAUAGCCCAGAAAAGGCAUUAUUAAAAAGUAAAUUUAAUAAAGAUGUCUAUAAUCCUGCUUUAGUAGAAGGCUUCGUUUGAAGUAUUUUGUGUGCUUGUGGUGACCAGAAUGAUAGCGUAGUGCUCUCAUGAAGCACCAGAUACAUGUAUGCAAAUAUCUGGGUAUCUGAAGAGGGGGAAGGAGAAGAAGUAACAAACUGUUUACUGUGUUAGUACUCCGUUGUGGUUCUCUGUGAGGACUGUGUCACUGCUGCUGAGCUGAGAGUGAAAUCUGAAUAGUAAAAGGAUUAUUUUUUUCAGUGGCAAUAACCUUGAACAUCAAGGCCCUGAAAAGUACUGGAGUUGCUCCUCAUCCUUGCAGGCACACAAGUCUGCAAGUGCAGCUGUCCUUGGGCCUCGUCCAACACAGUUCACAAAGAUCAGUGAAGAGUGUCUCUAAGGCUGGAGCUGCAAGUGGCGGGGGAGCAGUUUCAUCUAAAACUGAGAGAUCAGAGGAGUUCCGAAUAGAAAGUUUUUCCUAAUUCCUGGAAGGAGAUAAAUGGGAAGCAUGAGUAGUAGUUUGAGAGUCUGUUUUGUAACACUUAACGCAGCCAUAACCUCAUUAGUGUUCUUAAUUUGGAUCCAAUUACACAUAGGUCUGCUUCGGAGUUAAAAUAUAUAGUUCUGUAAUUCCUUAAACUACCAGUGUUAUGGAAGCAAAAGUUUCUACGUUUUAAUGUGUUUAUGUAGCACCCCUGAUCUUUAAUCUCCUCAGUGUGUGUAUGUAUGUAUUUCCCACCAUUUCCUUCUUGGGAUAAAGCCCAUAAUGCGAAGGGCCGUCCAGUCUGCCCAUGCAUGCUUUCCUGAGAGCCCUCCUUCUGUUUGUGCUAAGCUUGAGCACAUAACUCCUGCUGAAGAAACUACAGGAUAUUCUUUAACGGGAAGUAGUACAGAUGUUAAAAUAAAUGGUCUUAGCAGCCUCAGUGAGCCCAAAAUAGCUUCUGCAUGUUUCUCUUAUGAUAAGUUCAGGAAAUGGGGUGAUUCCCUCUUCCUCCCUCUCCGUAAUAUUUUGAAUGCUGAAAUCCUCUUGCCAUGAAGAGCAGGCAGUGUGGAGCAGGCUUCUCUGUAUUUUUCUGGGCCCUGACUUAACAGGGACAGAAGUGAGCCCUAAACAGAAAUUUGCAUUCUUUAGCAUAUUGUCCUACUUCCUACAAAAAUUUCCAAUAAGGUCCUUGGUGGUGAAGGGGGCUAACCACUGAAACUGCUUGUCCAGAGGGAUUGUGGAGUCUCUGUUGUUGGAAAUAGUCUAAAAACUGGAUAAGGCCUGAGCAAUCUGCUUGAAGCCAGGUUAGCGCUGAGCUAGAUGAGAUCCAGCAGUUCCAUUCAGCUGGCUGUGUGCCAUGUUUUUGCAUUUGGGGGAAGCAUGGCUGCCUUUGUCUGUCCCCAAAACCAGUGGGAAUAAAUGUAGUCUUCAAAUAUCUGAAAAUGGCCUUGAGAAUUCUGAAGAAAGACUUCAAAAAUUGAAGUAUGUAGAGAAGCAUAGCGUAAGGAAGUAAUUUUGCCCAAAGUCUCAUAGCAGCAGGUCAGUAAUAGUGCUGGGAGAGAAUCAUAAAUCUCCUGGCUGGCAGACUAGUGCCUUGGUAGCUAAAAGAGUUUGUCUUUACACAUAAAACUACUUCCUUUCCCUACUCAACUAUUUUCAGAUCACUUGGCAACAGAGACUACACUUACCUGCUGAGAGAUAUCUUCUUCUUUUUUUUCUCCCUGCCUUAUCUGUCAUGUUCAUAGGGAGUUUCAGUACUAAAGAAAAAUGUAGUGCAUUGACUUUUUCAAAAACCUAGAAAAUUUUAUCUGGAAAAGAAUUUGGUGAAAUAAAGACAAGAGCUGCAAAGGAAAUUUUUAGAAAGUGAUGUUAUUCCCAGCUAGUUGCACAACAAUUAAUCUCGUAAUUUUUUGUAAGAGCAGAAAAUAGCAGACAAAGCUGUACACUGAAUCCAAGUUUGAACCUCUAUUUGUUUAAAAGAGAAAAAUCACUUGAAAACUCUUAAAAAUCUGGAAGCUGAGAAGAACACAGAUCAGCAUUUUAAAGAGCAUCAUGGAAGGAGUUAAGCUGUGAGUUAACUGCAUCUGUGUUUCAAAUCCAAAUGCUACGAACAAGGCACCAUUCAGAUCUUCAGUUAUAAGUUAUGCUGAAUUCG